GCGGCGGAGGGGCGCGGAAGCUCUAGGGAUGCCCGAGGGAGGUGGGGCCAGCAGAGGAGACGGGGCAGGGAAGUCGCGGAGAGUGUGGGGGUCGAGGGGACGCACCGACAAGACCGUCUCAUCCAGGCUCGCCCACCACCCGUAUUCCACCACCUCCCACCGGUAUUCCAUGCCCGCCGCUUCUUCCCGGCUGACCUCAGUGCAGCUAUCCGGCCUACCUCAGUCUGGAUCCCUUCAGGCUGGCACUUAUUAAGGAAGGGAGCACUCGGCUGGAGAAAGAGAAAUGGGUCGGCGCCUUGAGCACUAGGAGAAAAGCCGCCUGAGUCCCGACUGCGCGGACCAAUGAGGCGGCCUUCCUGCGUCAGCGCGGAUACACGCUGCCCAAUUAGAGGAAGCGUGUCCUGGCGGCCAAGGGAGAAGCUACGGGUCCUACUUGGGGACAAACAUCUCGACAAUAAUAAUACGCUUCUAUUUUUAUUUUUGUUUUAAUUUGAACGAAAGGCCACACUAGAUAUGCCCAGCUUUGAGCAGUAAGAACAAUUUCGUUACCUUUGAAGUUUCCGAAAACAUUCCACAUGUAUUUUUUUUUAAUUGAUUCUUCACAUCACGUCUAUUAAGACAGAAGACAGACUUGGACAUUAAUUUGCCCAAGAACACAUAGCCCUUUUGGAUUAAAAAAAGAAGAAGAAGAAGAAGAAAAAAAAAAAGCCAAGUCCAGGACAACUAAACGCAAAGUGAAAUCCUGGAUUGGACCGUGGAACAGAAAAAGGACGUGAAUGGGACAACUGACGAAAUUUGAACAAGGUGUAUCAAGUAAUAAUAUUAUUGUAUCAAUAGUUUUGAUUUUGAUAAUUGUACUACGGUUAUGUAAGAUGUUAACUUUAAGGGAUUCUGGGUGAAGAACAUAGGGGUACUCUAUACUAUUUUUGCAACUUUUUGGAAACCUAAAAUAAUUUUAAAUUCUGAGCCCUUAUUGAGAUGUCCAGUACAUAACACGAAGUAGCUCAUGGAAAGCUUUCUGUAAAUUGAAUCAUUCGAAAUAUACUAAAACAAUACACCCUUCAAAAUAGCCACAGGCCCAGCACAUGUGGUUCCUUGAUGAUCUUGCAACCUCUGUCUGGACUAGCAAUAAUUUUCCUGUGACCCUCUCAACAUGGAAAUCAGUGUCCUGAAGGCCUCCUGUCUGCACUGGCGCCAGUUCCCUCCGCAGGCUCCUCUGCAGCUUGCCUGUGUUCCAGAGACUUGCUUUCUGCUUGCCAGCAACCAGUCCCAGCCUGGGUAAACCAGCAAACUUCUCUGCUGCCCAGUGGGCUGAACUUCAGCUUCUCCAAUGAGGCGUGAAUGCAACCUGGCCCCCACCCCCUGCUUGGUCCCAGGUUCUUCCUGCUUGCUGCUUGGAUGAGCCAAGCUAGCAUAUUGAUUGUAAGCUGCUCUACAGAGAGGGUCAAGUGGCAGAAAACUGAGGGCAACCUUCAGCCAAUGAAAACCUGAGGCCGUCAUUCCAACAGUUCAGGAGGAAGUGAAUCCUGCCAAUAAUAAGGGGAGUGAGCUUGGAAGCACACCCUUCACCAGGAGAGCCACGAGAUGACUGCAGAGCCAGCUAAUGCCUAGGUUGUGAGAGACCCAGAGCAGAGGACUCCUCUAAGUCACACGCAGAUUCCUGACCUACAGAAACCGUGAAACAAUGUUAUUGUGUUAAGCCGCUAAAUUGAGGGUACUUUGUUAUGUGAUAAUAGGUAACUAAUAUAAGAGUUAUUCCAAUUUUCCUUUCCAUCCUGUAUCUGUUUUGGUAAAUUGUAUUUUGAAGGAAUUUGUCCAUUUUUAAGUUAAGACCAUAUAGUCGAAGUUAUCCAUUUCCUUCAGAGGUUGACCAAGUACACUAAUUUAUCUGCCCAAACAAUACUUCAGAAACAAAAAACAAUGUCCACACAAAGACAUGUACACAAAUGUUCAUAGCAGCUUUAUUUGUUAAUAGUCAAAAAAUCUAAACAACCCAAAUGUUCUUCAAUGGGUGAAUGUUUAAACAAAAUGUGGUAUGUCCAUACCAUGGUAUACUACUCAGCAAUAAAAAGGAAUGAACUACUAAUACAUGCAACAAUUUGGAUGGAUCUCAAGGGAAUUAUGCUGAGUGAAAAAAAGCCGAUCUCAAAAGGUUACAGUCUGCAUAAUUUCACUUAUAUAACAUUCACAUAAUGACAAAAUUACAGAGAUGGAGAAGAAAUCAGUGGUUGCCAGGGGCUAGGGAUAGGAAAAUGGGGGUAAGGGAGGGGAAUGGACAUGAAUAUAAAGGGGUAGCACAAGGGAUCAUUGAGGUGAUGGAACAAUUAUCUUUUUUUUUCAGUUCUGUUAUCUUGAGAGUUGUAGUGGUUCCACAAAUCUACAUGUGAUAAAAACUGAACAGAACUACACACACACACACGAAUGCAUGUGAAAGCGAGUGAAAUCUGAAUAAGUUCUGUAGAUUGUUACUAAUGUCAAUUUCCUGGCUUUGAUAUUAUAGUGUAGUUAUGUAAGAUACUACCAUUGGGGGAACUGUAUGAGGGUACAUGGGUCCUCUAUUAUUUUUGCAAAUUCCUGUGAAUCUAUAAUUAUUUCAGAAGAUAAAGUAAAACAAAACAGAACAAAAACAACUUCAGUUGAUCUCAUCCAGUCUCUUGGGUUAAAACAUCUAUUUUAAAUAGCACUCCCCAGACCCUCCCCCCCCCCCCCCCCAUUACUCUGCACCUAAUUCUGAGUUGACUUUUGAGUGAAGACCUGAAGAAUGUGAGAGAUCUAGUGAUGAAGAUUCUUACAGGGGUCGGGAAGCCUCCUACCCUUACAGAACAGCAAGGGUAAAGGCCCUAUGAUGGAGCAUGCCUGGCUGGCCCGGUGAAGAACUCAGUGGCCAGUGCAGCUGGAGCAUAGUGUACAAAGUAUCAAAGAAAAGACUUUGGCUUUCACCCUGAGUGAGAUGAGAAGCAUUUGGAGGGUUUUGAGCACAAGAGUGAAGUGAUCAAACUGACAUUUUAAGAGGAUCUCUGUAGCUGCUGUGGUGAGAAUAAACUGAAGGGAGGCAAGGGCAGCAGCAGGGAGAACAGGAAGCCAUCACAGUUCAGGUGAAAGAUAAUUGUGGCUUGGACCUCAGUGGUGAAGUCGUCAAAUUCUGAAUAUUUAUUUUGAAGGCAGAGCUGACAGGACUUGCUGCUGGACUAGGAAGAGUAGUCAAGGGGGAAAUAACUGAAAUGGGGAAGACUGGAGGUACAGUUUGGGGAUUCAGAUUUGGACAUGUUAUGUCUGAAAUGUUUAUUAGAGAUCCAAAUGAAGAUGUUCGGCAGACUGCCCUAUCUAAAACGGCCCACAGUACUUAGAACUACAAUGUAAGUUUCAUGAAGUUAGGGACUAAUUCACUACUGUAUCUCCAACGCCCAGUACGCAGUAGAUUCUCAAAUGUGUAUUUGUUGAAUGAGUCUCUGUAAACUACCUAGGCCUGAACAUUUGAUGAUGGAUGUUAUUGAAUGCACCUGGGCUAAGACAGGCCCCAAACCCAUUUUCAUUCUUUAUGGAAGUGGUUCCCAAACUUUUCUGCACAUUGGCAGCACCUGGGGAGCUUCAAAUGUACUGAUGCCUUGAUCCCACCUCCUGAGAGUGUGUUUUAAUUGGUCUGGGGUGUGAUCUGGGUUUUGGGAUUUUUUUAAAAGCUCCCUAGGUGAUUGCCAUGUGCAGGUAAGUUUGGAACCACUGCACUACUGAGUUUUCAAUUAUAAAAAAUCUUUGUUAAAGUGCAUGAUCAUUAUUACUCCAAUAGGUGUCAAUUAUAAAGAAAAUAAAAAUCUUCCUGGGAUUUCAUUUCCUUCAGUUAAGUUUCCUCUCCUUUGCCUGGAUCAACUAUCCAUGGUUCUUCCUCUUCUUCCUGAUCUCAAUGAUCAUGCCAGGGCUUAUACAAGAUCACCCGUUUCACAAAUA